UCCGCGCGCGAUGAUUGGCCGAGAGCAAAGACUGACAGCGCGCCCGGCCAAUGGGAAGUGAGGAAAGCGCGGCGGGGCUGGGGGUGUGUGAGGGGUGUGCCGGCCGCCAUGUUGAGGGUGGCGAGCAGGGGUCACGGGCUGGUCCCUCAUGGUGGCCCGGGGGUCCCCCGGCACGGCCGGGCUGCACUUUGCAACCACGGAGUCAUAGCUGACACAGUGCCAGGCCAGGGCCGGGUUGCACGUUUAGGAGGAAUUCCCUCACGGAAAGGGUGGUUGGACUGUGGCGGUGGAGUCACCUCCCUGGAGGGAGCACUUGGUGCCGCGGUCUGGUGGAGAAGUUGAUAUUCGGUCACAAGUUGAACUUGAUGAUCUCAAAGGUCAUUUCCAGCCUAAUUGAUUCUGUGAUUCUGUGAAUCAUCAAGAUUGGAAGAAACCUUUAGGAUCAUACAGCCCAAGUGUUCACCUAGCGCUGCCACUGUGACCCUUAAACAACAUCUGCCAGAUGCAUAGACCCAACCAUCUCCAGGGAUGGUGACUCCACCAUCUCCCUGGGCAGCCUGACCUCCCAGCCAAUGAGUAAAUCAUUUUCAAAUACCUAAUUUGAGUCUCGGUUUAUGACCUUACACUGUUCACUGUGGCUCCUGUAUUUCCUGCUGGGGUGUGCUGUGUUUGUGGAGCACCACAGAGCACCCCAGCUUGCACAACUCCGAAAUAAAUUGUUCAUGUGUGUCUCCAUCGUGUCAGUAUUGGUGCACACCGGGGAACAAAUCCGAUUUCCCAGGCAGCUCCCCCACGUCCUGAGGAGGCUGUGUCUCCUGGAAAGCUGUUGAUAUUUCAGGGAUCACAGCCCCAGGUCAGCCCUGCUGCUGUUUUUGCUCUGAAACCGCUACAGGAAAUUACACAAAUUCGGUUGUGCAGUUUUGAGGCCGCAGACCUGAGCAUGGCCUGCUCUUAAAACCCGGUGCAAAAAUCUCCUCAUGAGCCCAAAGUCCUCUCAAGAGUGUCAGGACCUUUUGUGAAUGAAGUUAAACAUCUCCAUCCUGCUCCCAGCUCAGGCUUACAAAGAUAAGACUCCUUUGGACAUUAAGGAUUUGCCUCCUUUAGACAUUAAACCAGCAAAACACACAGGUCAUGAUGUCAGUGAGGUUAGAAUGGAGCAGCAAUUGUCCUUAGAAGCACAGGGAAUUGUGAUUCUCAGCGUUUGAAAUGAGAAUUGAGGAGAUAAUCAAGCCCUCUUUGGCAGUGAAGAGAUGAAAAUCUGCCUAAUUACAGAUUUUAGAACGAUGCAUUAGAGAUUCUCAAGGAAGGAGACAAAAGAAUAAAAAAAGUGAGCAGUAUAAUCCUGGGGAACUGAGGGUCAUAAGAUAAACUAUUAUACCCUUAAGGGAGGGGAAGACAUGACUCAGAAGCAUUAAAAUAUAUACAAAAGAAGACUUUUUUAGAAAAAUCUUUGGAUCUCAUUAGCAAUUAGUUAAGCUUCAGAAAAUCCCUUCCCACCUUUACAACUUAAUUUUCAGCUAAACAAAAAGCCUUCAAAGUUGGCUGGUCAGUCCUUUCCUUCUCCUUCACCUCCCCAGGAAAGGGGCUGCCAAAAGAGCCUCAGUCAAUGGCAGAUUCUCAGGAUAAUGGCUUUGGAGAAGAGGAGCAGGGAAAACUUACUGUCUGCUUCAGCUGCUGCUUGGAAAAUGAAAACACAUCUCUGUCUGUCAGGACCUGAGGACACCACCAGAUGUCAGUGGCCCUGCCCAGCCUCACCUGGGACCUUCUCCAUGGGUUCAGGAGCCCCAUUUCAGCUCAGCCUGGGGGUUUGAGACCCUUCUGCACAGAGCUGCAGGAGCCCCUCAUCCCAAAUUCCAGCCCCCUCUUCCCUGCAUCUGCCUUGCCACCAUGGACCUUUAUUCUUGAAAAUGUUUAUUUCUGAAAACUGAAUGUUAUUAUUAGAAAACUGGAGAUUGAAAGAGCCUAAAUUGCACUUCAGUAAUUGUAAAUUUUGUCUCUGAGCAAAAAGAGAAGCUAAUAAAAGAUGGAAAGUCAAGUUGAUCCCAAGUCAAUCUGAUCCUCUUUUUUUUCUUUCUCUUUAAUCUGUACAAAUGUUAGGUAAAAAUAAAAUGCAUGCCCUGGAUUCUCUGCUCAAUAAUUCCACUCCAGCAAAGACAAACUGAUUUAGGAUGGAAAUAAAGGCAGUCCUGUGGCUUGGGGCUUCUUUUUUUUCUUUUCUGUAUUUGCUCUUACAUGCAGAGUGCCACAUAAAAGUAUUUAGGACAAGAGUCUGAGCUGAGAAACUGACUGUGCUAUUAUUCAGGAGAAUAGCAGAGCUUCAGUUCACUUCAAAAGAAACAGGAUGGAGCCAAUGAUUUCCAAUAAAUCUGUGUUUGUGCCUGCAAAGUGUUCAUCCAAAGGAGAUUUGUCAGGAAACAUCUGUCAAAACCCUACCUAUCCUAAAGGUGUCUGAUUCUUGUAAUAACAGGGUUUAUACACAAAUUUCUCUUUUUGAGUUCUCAAACUAAAGAGUUUUUUGGGGUUUUUUUUAAUGUCUACUAGAAAAUAUUAAAAAUAUCGAUGUGAUCAACUGAAAAGCAGCCCUGAUAAGAGGAAAUAAAAGGCCUCUUCCUCUGUCUUCCUUUCACCACAGUGCUUGCAGUGGGAGAGCAGAGUGGGAAGCUGUGCAGCAAGCUCUGAACACAUUUUGUAAUAGCUCAGAACAGAGUUUGUAAAAUUACUUUAAAUGAGUGAGAAUCCUUUUUGAAGACUUCAUAAAUCUCGUAAGAUACUGCAAAAAGCAAACUUGCUGUGGUUACUGAGUAAAAAGCAGGAUCUUUUCAGCUCUUUGCUCUGCUCUUCAAUUAUUCAGCCCCUCCAAAUAGGCAGUUCUGAGGGUGGUUUUGUUCCAGCUCCCCAAGCUGGGUAUUUAAAAUGAGACAGCAACGUUCCACUGUCAGAGCUGUAGGCAGUCUUUAGCUUUAAUCUUAAUUUUAGAUAAAUACAACAUUGUUCUACAGAAUUACCUGGCUUUAGGCACAGGAGGCUUGUACUGAGAGCCGGCAAGAUCAGCUCUGUGCUCACAACUGCAGUUUUCUUUAGUUCUACUUGGAUUUCCUUCCUGAGUUUUUCUUGUUUAAUUUGCCUGCACUGAGUUGUUCUCCAGAAAAUGACACCAAGUACUGAACAUCAGAGGUGUCUGCCUCUGAAAUCAGAGCAUGGGAAUAUUUAUUUCAUGUGAUGAAUCUCUUUCUAUCCAUCAGUUCUCUGAAAUAAUUAUGAACCUGAGGAUUUUUAUUUAGGGCACUAUAGAAUCAGAAUUUUUAUCAUAAAAUUCUGGUUUCUGUGUAUUUUUUUCUACCAAAUUUAUGAAUAUUUAUAACUGACAGUGGACUAUUUCUAAUGGUUUAUCAAAUGGGUCCUAAAUACAAUGUUGAGACAUGUCAAUAUUCAUAUGAACAUUGAAUUCGUUUGCUUUAUUGUCUGACACUCAAUUUUGCUGUUACGGGUUUGAUAGUAAAUAAAAGUGGAAUAUAGUGCAU